AGUGCCGCUGUUGCCUUACUUGACAUAGAUCAUGUAUCUGAUUCAUGCGGAGGUCGGUUCCAGUUUUUUCGAUCCAUCUAGAGGAGUGUUCACCAGUGUUGAGGAAAGUUUGGGGGGCUUCUGUGCAGGGGUUUGAAUGAGCUUGCCUGAGCAUAUUAACCCCAAUUAGGAUAUUUCUUUCAGUAACACGAUCUCUGAUGCUUGGAAUAUCAAGUUCUUUUUGCAUAUUUAAAAUUUUGGCAGUACGAGGGCAUCCUAAAAUGAUCCUCAUUGCUUCGUUCUGCAGUUUUUCCAGCCCUCCAAGCUUCCAGUCAGACACAAGAGCAAGUAGUGGCGCAUAUGCAAGUGGCCCGGUGGCCUGGUGGCUAAAGCUCCCGCUUCACACACGGAGGGCCCGGGUUCGAUUCCCGGCGGGUGGAAACAUUUCGACACGUUUCCUUACACCUGUUGUCCUGUUCACCUAGCAGCAAAUAGGUACCUGGGUGUUAGUCGACUGGUGUGGGUCGCAUCCUGGGGGACAAGAUUAAGGACCCCAAUGGAAAUAAGUUAGACAGUCCUCGAUGACGCACUGACUUUCUUGGGUUAUCCUGGGUGGCUAACCCUCCGGGGUUAAAAAUCCGAACGAAAUCUUAUCUUAUCUUAUCUUAUCAUCGUGUGUGUCUGCCAGACUGGUGAGAGUGGUGGCUGUGGUGGCCCUUCAAGCAUCAACAACAUUGUCAGGCUGGACACCAUCAUCCUGGCAGUUAUUUUACUGGUUUAUUGCGGGUUUUUGUGUCAUUUUUGGUGGGAGGAGAUGGAGACGUCGCCCAAAAAUGAGUGUGGAGAAGCCAGAGCCCACUGAAAGAUUUGGUUGAUGUCCGCCUGGAGCCUUGCAGUGUCUGCAAUGGAAGACACUGUCAUGCAGAUUUGGGUGUCAUCUGCAAAGGAAGACACGGUGCUGUGGCUGACAUCCUUGUCUAUGUCGGAUAUGAAGAUGAGGAACAAGAUGGGAGCGAGUACUGUGCCUUGUGGAACAGAGCUUUUCACCGUAGCUGCCUCGGACUUUACUCUGUUGACUACUACUCUCUGUGUUCUGUUAGUGAGGAAAUUAUAGAUCCAU